GGUUUGUGGACCUGCAUAUUCGCAGAUCCAAGACAGAUCAAGCCAGUGUUGGUGCGUGGCUCAGGGUGGGGAGCUCGGGGGGUGAGUAUUGUCCGGUCCGGCUCUUCCAGCAGUAUAUGGCGAGCCGGCCGGCGUCGGCCUCGCUGUUAGUGCAUGCGGAUGGGUCCCUGCUUACGCGUUUUCAGUUUGCGUCGAUGUUGGG